GGGAUCACGAGAAAAGCUCUCAGACUGUGCAUGAGUGCUUGUUUGUUUUGGUGCUGCAGGUGGAAGUGAAAAUGGUAACAGGAGAGAAGGAGUGAACUUCGGACCCUUUGCAGAGUGAAAACAACAACAACAACACAAAGGCGUAGAGGCAGCAAUCUGGUUGGGCUUACAUCUCCUUUCCUGCGGUGCACUAAUUUUGAGUGACUGGGAGCUCGCAUCAGGUGGAAGGAGAUUGAGCCUCCUCCACCAGCCACCACACUAGAAAUAAAGAUGUCUAAACAAGAAGAAGAAGAAGAAGAAGAAGAAGAAGAAGAAGAAGAAGAAGAAGAAGAAGAAGAAGAAGAAGAAGAAGAAGAAGAAGAAGAAGAAGAAGAAGAAGAAGAAGAAGCAGCAGCAGCCGAAACCACCCAGCACAGUCCUCGGGGAAUUUUUUUUUUCCUCAGCUGCUCCCGCUAUAGCUGAGAGAUAGACUGGGGAAGGGGAUAUGGGGGUAAGCUGGCGGUUCACAUUCACCAUGAUAAAUGUAAAGACCAAUUAAGGUUUGAUCCGUGCACAGCGGAGGCAGACGGCGGUUGAUAUUGUAACCAAUUAACGAGCAUGUCCCCUAAUUCUUGCCGUCACCUCCGAGUGCAACACGCAUCUCUAGGCGUCUUCGGUGGCAGCCCCCUGCCUCGGAGCACACAGGUGAUGUAGGGGAGCCAGUCCCCUCGGCCAGGGUGUCGGGGCAAACGGCGUGUGCAGUCCGUGAGGUGGGGAGAGGGGAGUUGGCUGGGAGAGACAGAAGAAAAUGCAGGAAACCGCACCUGGCGGAUGCAAAUCAAAAGUGGUUGCGGCUAGGGCUGGCCAGGUGGGCAGUCUGUAAGUAAUUUGCUUCAGGCCUUGAGUCUGGAAGUGAAAAGGGGGGCGGGGGAGUAAGGCGUGGGAGUGAAAAGGCACCGGCCAAGGGAAGGAAUGGAGGAGGGGAGACCAAGAGGCCCGAAGAGGAGGAGGAGAAGGAGAUGGAUGUGGGGAGGAUUGGCGCCCUGGAAAGAGGACAGGUGCCUCGAGGAAGGAGGACAGGUGGCGAAGCAACAGCCCAGCUGAGGUCUCCAUCCACAACAUUCGUCAAGAGCCCCAGAGGGACUGAGGGUACCGGAUCCCCGGCGGAGAACCAGGGGAUGAGAAGGGAUUCCCUCCCCUGUGUUUCUUUGGGGUCCAUUCAAAAUUUG
rnacentral:lncRNA from 1 species